rnacentral:ncRNA from 1 species
UUAGGUAGAGGUUGCAGACAACAAGAGUACCUUAAAGGAGCUAGACAAAGCGAUGAUUUUAAGAGAAAGGGAAGUUUGCCGAAAUGAGGAUUAUGUCAAAAAUUCUUAUUGGGUGCAUGGAGAAUAUCUAUGUAACUGUCAUUGAAAUUUUUCAAUGUUGAGCUAUC